rnacentral:lncRNA from 1 species
AAAGAGAAGGAAGGAGGGGGAGAACAUGGAUAGCAAAGGGUCAGAGAAGGAUUAUUAAGAAUUGAAUCUACAUGUGAAUGGGAAACAUAUAAUGAAAAAAGACCAAAAAUUUUUUAAAAAGGAAAUAAAGUUGUUCAGUCCCGGCUGACUCUUUGUGACCUCAUUUGGGGUUUUCUUGGUAAAGAUACUAGAGUGCUUGGCCAUUUCCUUCUCCAGCUGGUUUUUUACAGAUGAGGAACUGAGGCAAACAGGGUUAAGUGACUUGCCCGGGGUUACACAGUAUCCGCACCUGGUUUGAACUAGUCUUUCUGACUCUAGGCUUGGCACUGUAUCCACUAUGCUGCGCAGCUGCCCACCUGGCACAUGGUAGGCGAUAAAGAUGACUGAGACAUUCCAGUUUUUUGCUUAUCUUUAAAGUCAUCUCUGUAUAAAUCUAAAUUUAUAAGGAAGAAAGAGGCAUUGCUUGAAACUGCAGUCUGAGAGGUUUGAAUGAGGAAGGUUAGAUUUCCUGGCAAGGUUGCAAUAAUUGAGUAAGGUAAAAAACGUAAGAAGAUAGAGGAAGUUUCUUCUCUACAGUUGUUGCUUUUUUUUUUUAACCCUUAGGAAUCAAUACUGUGUAUUGGUUCCAAGGCAGAAAAAUGGCAAGGGCUAGGCAAUGGGAGUCAAGUGACUUGCCCAGGGUCACACAGCUGGGAAAUGUCUGAGGCCAGAUUUGAACCUAGGACCUCCUGUCUCUAGGCCUGGCUCUCCAUCCACUGAGCUACCCAGCUGCCCCACCCUAAGAGGUGUUGGCCACACACAAAGUGUCAUCUCAUCUCUGGGCCCCUGAAAGGCCGUGCCCCCCUCCAAGCUCAGUUCGAAUUCAAAUCCACCUCUUUCACAAAGUCUCAACAGAUUCUCCCACACGGGAUCAGGAACCAAAGUUUGACAGGUAACUCAGAAGGAGGGAACGGAUACAGAGGAACACCGCUUCCCUCUCAGGCAGAGCUGUCCCAUUGAAAAUGGAGUUGAAUCUCUGACCAGAGCUGAAGGGUAAGAGAAAAUCCUCUUCAGUCUCUGUUAUUAUUCUCUUCUUUAGAUUUAGAUUGUAUCUAUGAUCCCCUUUAGUACAUUGAAGAAGAUAUCUGGUUCCUCAGAAGGUUAAAAGAUCUAUUUAUUAGAGGAUAUAUUUGGUAUAAUAGGUUAGGAAAGAGGAAACAGGAAGUCCCUGAUCUAAUUUCUACCUAGAGUUUCUUCAGGGGUUUGAAGCUCAAGUCUAGGGAUUAAGUCCCAUUAGAUCUUAUGAUCUUUGUAAAUUCAGGAUGAUGUAUUUUCUUGAGACAGAGAUAUAUCUUUUGAAGGAAAUCUUCUGAUGGACAGGCUAUUGUCUUCCCUAAGGGGAAAAGUCUCUACCCAACAACUAUUCAGAUAGAUGGUUAGUCUGAAUCUCUUC